rnacentral:lncRNA from 10 species
CGGCAGUGUAUGAGGGGUUGAAGUAUGGUUGCUAGUAUUGGCCAAGACUCAGCUAUUGUUAGAGGGCAUACUCCUAAAUUAGGUUUUCAAUCUUGUCUCCCUUUUAAGUUAGGUUGCAGGUCCUCCACAAGGACUCAAAUAUAGAAAUACAGGAUCCUUCUCAGGCCAUAUUUAGUUUGCUUUAACAGGGCAUUAUGUGAAUACAUACUGUAUUCCAUUAAGAGAUCCUUGCUCUGAAGAAAUUUUAAAAGUGAAAAAAACCUUUCACAUCUGGAGAGCGCAUCUUUGGAAUGCAAUGUGAGAGAACAUUCCCCAGGAGAUGGAAACAUAUUUAUGAUCUCCAAGUUAUAGGAAUCUCAGUUGGGCACGGUAGUUCACGCCUAUAAUUCAAGCACUUUCGGAAGCUGAGGUUGGAGGAUCUCUUGAGGCCAGGAGUUCAAGACCAGCCUGGGAAACGCAGAGAAACCCUGUCCCCACAAAAAGAAAAUAAAAUAAUAACUUAGCGAUUCGUAG